AGUGGACGCUGGCGGUAGGCCUAACACAUGCAAGUCGAACGGCAGCACAGUAAGAGCUUGCUCUUACGGGUGGCGAGUGGCGGACGGGUGAGGAAUACAUCGGAAUCUACUUUUUCGUGGGGGAUAACGUAGGGAAACUUACGCUAAUACCGCAUACGACCUACGGGUGAAAGCAGGGGAUCCUCGGACCUUGCGCGAUUGAAUGAGCCGAUGUCGGAUUAGCUAGUUGGCGGGGUAAAGGCCCACCAAGGCGACGAUCCGUAGCUGGUCUGAGAGGAUGAUCAGCCACACUGGAACUGAGACACGGUCCAGACUCCUACGGGAGGCAGCAGUGGGGAAUAUUGGACAAAGGGCGCAAGCCUGAUCCAGCCAUACCGCGUGGGUGAAGAAGGCCUUCGGGUUGUAAAGCCCUUUUGUUGGGAAAGAAAAGCAGCAGGUUAAUACCCCGCUGUUCUGACGGUACCCAAAGAAUAAGCACCGGCUAACUUCGUG
rnacentral:rRNA from 1 species